ACGGUUAUAUGCUUGCUUGUUAUAUGCUUGUUAUGUUAUGUUGCUUGCUUGUUAUAUGCUUUUUGGAAAAUCAAAUAAUGAUGAUUAUUUGAUAUAUUCAUUUACUUGCAGAUUGCAGUACAAAAUGCAAUACAAAAUGGGUCUUUUCUGUUUAUGGUUCAUUUGAGGUUUCAAUGUUUAUGGAGAAUUCAUAGCGGCAACAGUUCACCCUAAUAAACUAGAGCGUGAGAAGCAUCUCGUUGCUGCAUUCUGAUACUUUGACAAGGACGGAAGUGGGUAUAUUACAGUUGAUGAGCUUCAACAAGCUUGUGCUGAGCAUAACAUGACAGAUGUUUUACUCGAGGAUAUAAUCAGAGAAGUUGAUCAAGAUAAUGAUGGAAGAAUCGAUUAUGGUGAAUUUGUUG